rnacentral:misc_RNA from 1 species
AAACUGCGAUAAGUAGUGUGAAUUGCAUUUAGUGAAUCAUCGAAUCUUUGAACGCACCCUGCACUCACUGGUAUUCCGGUGAGUACGCCUGUUUCAGUAUCAUUGAAAACACACAAUCAAAACAUUUUCUUUGGUUUGAUUGGCUUUGGGUCUAUCAAAAAGUUUGGCUUGUUUCUUACAAGCCAAGCGGCCUGAAAUAUAUUGUCUGGCUAAUUGCAUCGUUGAUGAUCGCUAUUAGACUUUGGCUUUUUUAAAUGAACUGGAGGUUGAUUAACCAGUUUUAGCUUUAGUCAAAUGGUCAUUGUAAAAAAAAUCUCGAUCUUGGCUAGGUGUUUAUAGCCGAAAAUUUUUUUUUGGCUAUAACCGAAACCAAUAUAAUCACAUUUAGUUAUCGAUCUGAAAUCAUGUGGGACUACCCGCUGAACUUAAGC